rnacentral:lncRNA from 1 species
AUACAGCUAUUUUUUGGUUGCUUGUGAAGAAAACUUUUAAUGUUUUAGGUAAAAGCUCUAUCAAUUCAUUGGACGGGCAAGAUUUUCUCGCGGAACUGGGGUGUUUUCCAGACUUUAUUAUGAUUGCCACUCCGAUCUGCUACAAUACAAAUUAAUAGAAAGGAAAAAAGCUACUGUUCCCGCUGAUUACCUUUACUUGUAUAUAUUUGUGCAGAACUCAAUGACACUUCCAUGCUUAAUAUACCGUA